rnacentral:lncRNA from 10 species
UUUUUGAAGCAGAGGUCACUUUUCUUUCACUGGUGAGGUACUUUGACAAAGACGAAGAAGGGAGACAAUGGUGUGGCAAAAUGGCUUUGUUGUGGUGGAAGAUGAAUUGUCGUCUCAAGGGGGCAGAGGACUGCCUGUGAGCUUCCUUAACAUGGAGCCCGAAACCGGUGUUUGCACAGUCCUUGAGGAAAGGGUUUGCUCAGCAAAUUAACAGUGUGAACAAGACUGCAGGAGGGACCAUUUACCUACCUGAGAACAAACUGUUUUCUAGCUCUUCAGCAGCACCACUUACGCACAAUUUUCAUGUGCUAAUGGCAAGUGAUUAUUACCUAGUUAGUGAAUAUACGUGGAAGACAUAAAAUAGCCUUUACUAUCCCCUGGUUGAGACAACUCGCUAACUCAGACUUGCCAGGUGCUCUGAAUUAGAGAGGUGCUACAGGAAUGUCCUCUCGGAUUUUUGGCGUUGAGCAUGCAUGCAUGUGAGCAGGGUGCCAUUUCUUCAGAAGAAAAAUAAAUGACAACAUUCUGUUUUGGGGCUUGAAACUGCAUGACUGAAAACAUAAAGGUGACAACUGUGAUAUGCUUUUUUAAUGAGGGCAGAGAUGUCAAGAGAAACCAGCCUUCUAGGAACAAAAGAAUACUCUGUCAGGUGCAGUGGACUUAAGACCUUUUUCUCUCUUGGAAUAAUGUCCUUAAAAAUAAC